CAUUACCGAAGCUCGGAUGCUGGUUCGGUCUGAUGAUAAAAGGGAUGGGAUGUGCUCGUCUGGAUGCGUGUCCCUUCUCUAUUCCACCCCUUGGUCAACCCCCUGUGCGAGCCGAUGACAGAUCGAAGGCUCGCGUGCGACCCUUAACUUACCCCAAUGAAAUAUCAUAAUGUACCUUGCGUUUUCUCGCACAAAUACCUUUUUCCCGAACGGAUCUAUUGGCUCUCGCAUCGGUGAAAAACGCAGCGAAUUGCAAUAACUAAGGAGAAUUGCAAAAUUCAGUGAAUCUUCCAAUCUUUGAACGCCCCUUGCGCCCCUUGGCAUUCCGAGGGGCACGCCUGUUUGACUGUCGUGAACUCCUCCACCCUCUAACUUUUUCGGAAGGCAAUGGCCUGGGAUUUGGGAGCUUGCGGGCCCCUGGCCGAUCCGCUCUCCUGGAAUACAUUACCGAACCCCUUGCGGCCUUGGUGUGAUACUCACCUACCCCUUGGCUUCCGAACUUAUGGGAAUCGCUUCCAAGCGUCUCGCUGGAGACAAUCACUACCAACUUGACCUCAAAUCAAGCGGGACUACCCGCUGAACUUAAGCCUAUCAAUAAGCGGAGGAAAAGAAAUUAAAAAGGAUUCCCCUCGGAGUGCGAUUGAAGCGGGAUGAGCUCACUUUAAAAUCUGUCGUCUUCGGCGUCCCAGUUGUAUUUCCACAAGUGUUUUCCGCGCCCGACCGGUACGAGUCUCCUGGACCGGAGCGUCUACAUGAGAAAAACCCGUCUUUGACACGGCCCCCGGAGCUCGUGAAACUCUCCAAAGCAAUUUGUUUGGAAGCCGCUCAACGGGUGGUGAUGUCAUCUAAGCUAAUAUUGCGAGAGACCGAUAGCAACCACUACCUUGAGGAAAGUGACAGCACCUUGGAAGACAGUGACACGGUCCACCAUU
rnacentral:rRNA from 1 species